GCGCCGGUGGUGUAAGGGUGUAGAGCAUUCCCGCCCGGUCAGAGGGAGGUGCGGGUUCGAGUCCCGCCUGGUGCU
rnacentral:tRNA from 1 species